UACGUAGGGGGCAAGCGUUGUCCGGAAUCAUUGGGCGUAAAGGGCGUGUAGGCGGCUUGGUAAGUCCGGUGUGAAAGUCCAGAGCUCAACCCUGGAAAGCCGGUGGAAACUACCAAGCUAGAGUCCGGAAGAGGCGAGUGGAAUUCCUGGUGUAGCGGUGAAAUGCGCAGAUAUCAGGAGGAACACCAAUGGCGAAGGCAGCUCGCUGGGACGGUACUGACGCUGAGACGCGAAAGCGUGGGGAGCAAACAGG
rnacentral:rRNA from 1 species